rnacentral:miRNA from 1 species
GAUGAUGAUGAUGAUGAUGGCGAUUACACACACGAGCAAGUGCAGCACCACUGCGUUUCAUGAUUGCUGUCUAGCGAAUGAAUUGGCAUAAACAUCGUCAUCAUCAUCAUCAUCAUC